rnacentral:misc_RNA from 1 species
GUUUGUGGUGUACCCCUAUAUUUGAAAAAUACAAAAAGAGAACUUUUAACUGAAAUCUAGUUGCUGCUGCUUCAGAAAUUCGGGUCUGAAGUUGGGCUCGGGCGAAUGGGCCUAGAACGUCGUCAUAUGCUUUGGCAUGUCACCGCCCAGAAGAGAAAUUAUGAGCUGGGGCAUCAGCUAUUUAAUAUACAAAAUUGAGAUACUAUCACCCAAUCAUCCUAAUUUAACUAACACAGAUGAACAAGGUCAUGCAG